rnacentral:lncRNA from 1 species
CAAGAGUAGACGGAGGAGAAGUCUCAAUGAUGGCUGUACUGCAUAUCCAGUAUUUACCCCCGGACAACCCAGGGAGAGAAAGAACCUCACCAACAUGAUGGGCAUAAUUUUCCUUUUCGUUCUUCGUCGAGGAGAUCCAGAAUUUCAAAGCAGUUCAGCGAUCCAUUUUCUGUUUUACUGACUAUGUGAUGAAAAGGAAUCCUUCCACAGGAAGAAAACUAUCAUUUAUAUUUUUUCCUGAUUCUCUGGGGACUUCAGACAUGGAGUGAAAUAAAAGCUUGGAGUGAGAGAGAAUGAAGCCUUGACAGAAAGUGAAAUCCCUGUCCUGUCUGUUUACAGCAAGCCAAACUAAAAUCAAGCAAAUGGCAGUGCUUUGUAUGUG